UACGUAGGGGGCAAGCGUUGUCCGGAUUUAUUGGGCGUAAAGAGCGUGUAGGCGGCCUGACAGGUCAGCUGUGAAAACUCGAGGCUCAACCUCGAGACGUCGGUUGAAACCAUCUGGCUAGAGUCCGGAAGAGGAGUGUGGAAUUCCCGGUGUAGCGGUGAAAUGCGCAGAUAUCAGGAGGAACACCGGUGGCGAAGGCGGGUCUCUGGGCCGAUACUGACGCUGAGGAGCGAAAGCGUGGGGAGCGAACAGG
rnacentral:rRNA from 1 species